rnacentral:rRNA from 1 species
GACAGAGGUGGCAAGCGUUGUUCGGAUUUAUUGGGUGUAAAGGGUCCGUAGGUGGUUAUGCAAGUCUGGCGUGAAAUCCCACAGCUCAACUGUGGAACUGCGUUGGAAACUGCAUGACUUGAGUAUCGGAGAGGUAAGGGGAAUUCUCGGUGUAAGGGUGAAAUCUGUAGAUAUCGAGAGGAACACCAGUGGCGAAGGCGCCUUACUGGCCGAUUACUGACACUGAGGGACGAAAGCUAGGGGAGCAAACAGGAUUAGAAC